UACGGGGGGGGCAAGCGUUGUUCGGAAUUACUGGGCGUAAAGGGCUCGUAGGCGGCCAACUAAGUCAGACGUGAAAUCCCUCGGCUUAACCGGGGAACUGCAUCUGAUACUGGAUGGCUUGAGUUCGGGAGAGGGAUGCGGAAUUCCAGGUGUAGCGGUGAAAUGCGUAGAUAUCUGGAGGAACACCGGUGGCGAAGGCGGCAUCCUGGACCGACACUGACGCUGAGGAGCGAAAGCGUGGGGAGCGAACAGG
rnacentral:rRNA from 1 species